AACACUUUUGUUCCGGUCCCAUCGGCCGCGCUGCACGCCUCCACCAGGGGGCGCGUUUGCGUCUCGCUGAGGAUUAGUGGCGGCAGGUCAGGAGGUCUGGAGCUGGGGGCCCGGAACGAUGCAUGGCACACAGUACGAGCUCAGUAGGUACGUGUUGAAUGAUUGACUGUCUUUGCGGGCAGUUCCAGAGCAGCGUCUAAUACCGUUGUUAUACCCCAGGAUGUUAUUGCCAUUGAAGGAAGCAUUCCGUAGAUGGGAAUGAGAAAAAAGCCCUGGACCUGUCAGACUUGGUCCAAGUACCAGCUGAGUCUUUAUUUUUUGAUGUUUCCAGAGGAGACUUGACAGCAGAAAGCCAAGUUCUCUUCAAAAUUCUCCACUAUUGACAAAGACCGCGGUCAAGUUAGGCCAAAAGCCAAAGUGCUCCUCGUUGAAAAAUGCUGUGGAAGAUUAGGCUAAAUGCCAGCCACUUUUUCUUAAUCAAGAAACUCAGCUAACAAGUUGGAGCUUUUAAAUGCAGAAGGAAGAGAAGAGAGUA